UCCCUCUGGCUCUCAAAAUUCCUCCUCUUCUGCCGUCGCCGUCACUGCCCCUGCCCGUUGUCCUCGGCCACCACCCAGCCCUUGGUCGGCCUCCACCCACCUCAUCGUCGGAUUCUCUCUCUAACCCUACUUUUCUCUUCUAAUCCUAAGUUCCUCUUUUCUCUCCUCAUUCUCUCCCUUCCUCCGAACUAGCCUCCUCUCUCUCCUCAUUACCUGAGUUGGUGAACAUCUAAGGACGGGAACAGCUAAUCUUCCGAUCUGCUGCGACAUUCACCACGUAAGCUCCGCAUCUGCCGAUCUGCUUCCAGAUUUGGGCCUCUGUAAAUUAACCCGUGAAGAAAUCCAUUUUCGUUUCUAGACGAAUAUCAUUAUUUUGCUUCCAGACUUGGGGUUUUCUUGCAGUGUUGCGCGCCCAAGUUUGCUUCCAGAUUUUUGGAAAUUUAUUCUCCACAUAUGGGCCCUGAUUUAGAGCUCCAAGGAAAGUCGAAAGCUGCUAUAAUUUUCAGUUAGUAAGGACAACGUAAUCGCCCCUGAAGGCUCAGAAGAAAAACUUCUGCAAUGUGCAAGUAAUUGUGAGGACAACACCUUUGGCGUGGAAGAAUUAUUAGUCGAGCGAGCUGGUGAACAUGAUGGAAUUGAGAAUAUGGAGCUUAAUAUAACUGACAUUAUUGAUACAAUUGAUGCUAUACCGGUUAAAGGUGAAUGCGAAGAUGUGACUGAGCAUUCAAGUUCUUUUGGUGGUAGAGAAUCCAGGACAGAGAGUGGCUUGAUGUUGACUGAUGACGAAAUUGAGUCACACGUGUGUGCAAGUAAUGCAUCACUAUAUGAUGGAUACUUUGAUGCCUUUCAAAUAAGGAAGAAAAAGUUAACUGUUCAUUGGAGGAAGUUUAUACAUCCUCUUAUGUGGCGCUGUAAAUGAAUAGAACUUCAAAUUAAGGAGCUUCAGUCCCAGGCACUAAAGUAUGAUAGAGAACUUGUGGUAUAUGAUCAAAGAAAGCAGUUUGAAUUUGAAAACUUCACCUUAGAAGGUUUUGAUGCAAAGUCUCUACCCUUUUCCAGACAACUUAGAAAUAAGGUCAUGACGAGGAAGAAAAGAAAGAGAGUUGAAGAGACGGCUGAUGUCACGCCAUAUAUAUCACAACAUAACCUGUUCUCCUACUAUGAAAGUAAGAGGUCUAUUGCUGAUGGUGCUCCUAUAGAAGGUUAUUGUGGUAAUCUAGAUAAGAUUGCUAAUGGCAGUAAUGAGUUUGGGAUAAAUGAUGGAUGGUCAUCUCAUGAAUUUGGAAAUGGUGAUAAUUCAUUGGAACAGAUUCUCUGGAAGAUUGAAGUGGCACAUUCUCAAGUUCGCAAGCUGAAGACCCAAAUUGACAAGGUGAUCAUUGAAAAUCCUGGAAAGUUCUGUUCCAUAAAUAAGUUGAGCUUACCUGUACCAUCUGAAGCUUGACCCGUUCUGAUCAAAGUCCUGCCUCUCCUCCUGAUAAUGGACAUAGAUUGCCAGCUAAAUCUCCAUUUACUUCUCGGCUUAUAUCUGAGGGUAGCAUGGGAGAUGUACCUAUGUUUGAAAGUGCAGUUUUCAGUCUUGGGGAGGCAAACCCUCUUUCUAAUAUAAUUGAAAGCAUUGACCAGUCUCAGAAGGAAGGAAUUCUGAUACAUAAUCAGGCUGCCAAGGAAGAGUUGGAUGAUUUUGGUGAAGUCAGAGGUUGGCUCAUAGAGAAGCCUCAGGUACCGCUGGAAGAGCAGACAACCAUUCCUCAAGACCUGCCCGCAGAGACAGCGAUACCCAAGGUUCAAUCUAAUGUAAAAUCACGUUCCCCUUCCAAGUCAAGUUUCCCUCGGCACACAAGAAGACGGGGGCGGAGAAAAGCUGGCUGAAAGAGGUGGAGCAGGAGAUCUUUAGGUUAGCUGGAUUUUACAAGCCAAUAUAGUUUUUUUCUUAUUUGUUCUAGGGAUGAAAAACCAAAAUAUUCAAAAAGGAUGUCAACAGCCUCCGUUGCUCUUCAGAAUUCGUAUAUGCUGCUUAUUUUGCAGUUUUACUGUAUAUCUUCUCCCUCUCUCUUGUAGCAUUGAUUUCAAAUAUAAUGUAAGCACUAUUAAUCUGUUUGGAUUUGAA